rnacentral:rRNA from 1 species
CUGGAGGUAUCAGAAGUGCGAAUGCUGACAUAAGUAACGAUAAAGCGGGUGAAAAGCCCGCUCGCCGGAAGACCAAGGGUUCCUGUCCAACGUUAAUCGGGGCAGGGUGAGUCGACCCCUAAGGCGAGGCCGAAAGGCGUAGUCGAUGGGAAACAGGUUAAUAUUCCUGUACUUGGUGUUACUGCGAAGGGGGGACGGAGAAGGCUAUGUUGGCCGGGCGACGGUUGUCCCGGUUUAAGCGUGUAGGCUGGUUUUCCAGGCAAAUCCGGAAAAUCAAGGCUGAGGCGUGAUGACGAGGCACUACGGUGCUGAAGCAACAAAUGCCCUGCUUCCAGGAAAAGCCUCUAAGCAUCAGGUAACAUCAAAUCGUACCCCAAACCGACACAGGUGGUCAGGUAGAGAAUACCAAGGCGCUUGAGAGAACUCGGGUGAAGGAACUAGGCAAAAUGGUGCCGUAACUUCGGGAGAAGGCACGCUGAUAUGUAGGUGAAGUCCCUCGCGGAUGGAGCUGAAAUCAGUCGAAGAUACCAGCUGGCUGCAACUGUUUAUUAAAAACACAGCACUGUGCAAACACGAAAGUGGACGUAUACGGUGUGACGCCUGCCCGGUGCCGGAAGGUUAAUUGAUG